rnacentral:rRNA from 1 species
UGGGGGAUUUUGCACAAUGGGCGCAAGCCUGAUGCAGCGACGCCGCGUGAGGGAUGAAGGCCUUCGGGUUGUAAACCUCUUUCGCUGGGUUGAAAGGCCAUGCUUUGGGUGUGGUUGAUUUGAACUGGUAAAGAAGUACCGGCUAACUACGUGCCAGCAGCCGCGGUAGUACGUAGGGUACUAGCGUUGUCCGGAUUUAUUGGGCGUAAAGGGCUUGUAGGUGGUUUGUCGCGUCUGUCGUGAAAUCCUGUGGCUUAACCAUGGGCUUGCGGUGGGUACGGGCAGGCUUGAGUGCGGUAGGGGAGACUGGAAUUCCUGGUGUAGCGGUGGAAUGCGCAGAUAUCAGGAGGAACACCGGUGGCGAAGGCGGGUCUCUGGGCCGUUACUGACACUGAGGAGCGAAAGCGUGGGGAGCGAACAGG